AUGAGCGACUCGGAGCAUCCCAUGCCGGUGCAAGGUGGUGGGGCUGACGCUGGGGUUCGUGGCCUUAGUGGUGACCGGCGUGGUGGGGCUGAUGCUGGGUGUGGCGGUCUGCCUGUUCCUGUUCCCCACGGCUCUCGAGCUGCAGCUGCUCACCUCACCCUCCAUGACCCACAAUCUGGAGUUGGUUCAGCCAUUACAAGUGCAGAAGGGUCGUCGUUGGACCAAAGCCAGCUCCGAUCUCCAACUUCUUUAAGGGAUACAGGUAAUGUUCCGUUUGAUCCUGGCUCCCAGUCUGAUAUUCCAGUCGGACUGCAAAGGGGCUGCUCUGCAUUUGGCGUCGGAGCACGACUAGUAAAUUCUGAUGCAGUUCUGGAAGCCAUUGAAACCAUGAACCUAAUUUGCUGGAAUUGCAGAGGGCUAGGUCCCUUGCUAGUAAUAAAAUGCAAUACCUGGCCAAUUUGA
rnacentral:rRNA from 1 species